UGUAUUUUCCUGGUAGCCGGUCUUACUUCAUGAAAAAAUAGUCCGCUACCAGUGACUAGGUCCCCUCUCUUAUGGCGGUUAUUCCGGCUCAAUAUCUUCGGGGAUAUUCCUUUUCAGGGCGGUUGCAUGCGGAUAAUAUGGUCCGUCGCGUUCGCAAAAUAGUUAGGGAGUUAGACAGUUUAGAAGCGUCCAAACUGCGCAAUAUACGACACUCACGUGAAACGUAAAAUACUUUAUAAUAAUUCACAAAAUUGCGAAAACGAAAAAUUGACAAUUUUGCAAUUUGAAUUGUGCGUUUCUGGCAAAUGCCUUUAGAUUCAAGUUGUAACGACAAUUUACAAGCGCAAAGACCGCCAGGGUUAGAGUGUUUUUAUGUGGUUUGUUAAGGAGCAAACUCGCUUUUUAAAAAAAGAAAUGUGUAUUAAUUUCGAUCCAGAUUUGUUCCUGAACAUGGUCGCCAUGAAAACACUCUGUAGAGCAAGCUCAGCGACG
rnacentral:lncRNA from 1 species